rnacentral:rRNA from 1 species
UUACACAUGCAAGUCGAACGGGCUUAAAGAGCUUGCUCUUUAAGUUAGUGGCGAACGGGUGAGUAAUAUAUCGGAACGUAUCCAAUAAUGGGGGAUAACUAAUCGAAAGGUUGGCUAAUACCGCAUACGCCCUACGGGGGAAAGCUAGGGAUCGCAAGACCUGGCGUUAAUGGAGCGGCCGAUAUCUGAUUAGCUAGUUGGUGGGGUAAAGGCCCACCAAGGCGACGAUCAGUAGCUGGUCUGAGAGGACGACCAGCCACACUGGAACUGAGACACGGUCCAGACUCCUACGGGAGGCAGCAGUGGGGAAUUUUGGACAAUGGGCGCAAGCCUGAUCCAGCCAUUCCGCGUGAGUGAAGAAGGCCUUCGGGUUGUAAAGCUCUUUCGCAAGGGAAGAAAGAUUACUCUCUAACAUAGAGUGAUUAUGACGGUACCUUGAUAAGAAGCACCGGCUAACUACGUGCCAGCAGCCGCGGUAAUACGUAGGGUGCGAGCGUUAAUCGGAAUUACUGGGCGUAAAGCGUGCGCAGGCGGUUUUGUAAGUCAGAUGUGAAAUCCCCGAGCUCAACUUGGGAACUGCGUUUGAAACUACAAGACUAGAGUAGGUCAGAGGGGGGUAGAAUUCCACGUGUAGCAGUGAAAUGCGUAGAGAUGUGGAGGAAUACCAAUGGCGAAG